GCCACUGGGCAAAAUCAGCUGUUAGGGGAGUCCCUGGUACCCAGCUUAGUUACUGGUGGUAGUAGCCCCUGGUGCCUCUGAGCAAACACAGUGAGGCUGUCUGCUUAUUCUUGCAUGUGUGGGUCUGUGUGGCCCAUUCUGGUGGCCACCACCACAGAAAGAUAUUGGGAAUCAAGGCAGGUUAUUGUCCCUUGUGUCUCAGAGCUGGGCUUACUGUGGUGGCAGACAGACUUCAAGUUCAUCUGAACCUCAACUAGCAAAUUCAGGGCUCUGGCUUGGUGCUUCCAAUGUGUCACCUUGUUCAGUCCUCUCACCAGCUCUAUGAUGCAAGUUCUGUUUUUGGUUCCCAUGUCACAAAUAAGGAAACCGAGGCUUAAAAGUUGCAUAGCUUGCUCAAGUUCACUUCAGAAGAGGUUUCUCUUUCCUGAAAUGGGAGUUGGGAUCAGUUCAUUAAACCUCAAUCGUUACUCCAUUUCAGUUAACCUACUUAGUCUGUUCACUCUGUACUUUUGUGCUGUUUGUUGACCUUGUGACCUACAAACUGGCAGCUCUGAAGCCCGGGGAAAUUCGACAGAGCCUGAGAGGCACCCAGUACUGGUCACUGGCAACCUGGAAAGGAGGAGUGGUGUAAACUCUGAGCUGAGUUUUAUGCUCAGUGAAUGGAACCUCACCAGAAUUCUAUCACUGGCUACCUGGAAUAUAUCAAGAAAACAAACUGACUGUGGAGUAAAAAAAGGAGGUAUCUUCUGAAAGGGUUUUGGCCCAGACAGGACUCUGUAGCCAGAAAAGCCUCAACCAGAACCAGGAAGCUCCUAUCUCCCCCACCCCAAGGAAUUUACCUGUGACGUCAUCUUUCCCGCCCCUGGGAACUUAUCUGUGGUGCCAAACUUAGGACUAAUGGGCUACCCUUGCAUCCCUGAUGUCCCCUUGGGUUUCGCCCCAAACAGAAGCUACUUACAUACCCCCGAUGCCACAUGUCUGCCAGAGAGAUGGCCAGACUCCAGCCGUGGGGAGGGGGGUGAUGGUGCCGGUUAUCUCUCUCUGUGUUCUCAGAAUAAAGGCCUCUUUUGUUUUAUACUUCUCAUCUUUUAGAAAGAAUCCUAUCAUCUUCCUCCCAAGGCUGCAUUUCCUGGGAACUCCCUUUAUCUCUCCCUCCCCACAAGCCAUAUAAACCUGACCUGUAUUUUAUGACCAUCACCAUAGGACCUCCCUAUAGGUAGGUGGAAGAAGGAUCUGAAAGUAUUGGUUUAAUUUGGAACAUCAACAAAGCUACCAUUGAACAAGUACCACUGUAUACAAAAGUCUGUGCUUAUUGCUGAUGGUGGAAAGAAUUACAGACCAUGGACUCUGCCAAAUGAAGUAUUUCAAAAUGAGUUCAAGGUACCACAUUCACAUGCAAAUAUGAGACAGACCACCAGACUAUGCUAAAAAAAAAAAAAAAGACAGAAAGAAGGAAAAAAGAAAGGAAAAAAAAAAAAAAAGAAGAAAACAAA